rnacentral:lncRNA from 1 species
UGGACACACCUCAGGGAAAUGUCUCAUAAAGCACAGACCAAGCUGGGACAGAGGUUGGGAGGGACUAAAAUACAGCUAUUAAUAUAGGAGCUUCGUGAAAGAGUCCGCCCAUCGGAUUAUGGGAGCUCUGUUCUGAAAGAGAAAGAGAAGCCUGAACCUGCCUGUAGGAGAGAGAGCAAACAGGAAGACGGCCCAGCCUCAGAGGAGAAAUCCUGGCAAAGACCCAGUAUGAGAGAGGAUGGCAGA